rnacentral:rRNA from 1 species
ACGUCAGAACUGUUUCGGUCUUCCAUCAGGGUUUCCCCUGACUUCAACCUGAUCAAGUAUAGUUCACCAUCUUUCGGGUCACAGCAUAUCUGCUCAAGGUACGUUCCAGUUAGAGGUAUAAAUAAUAUAAAUAUCAUCAUACAUAACUAUAUAGAACGCCCCGGGAUUGUGUUAAUUAACUAUAAAUAGUUAAAAAACUAAUCCCAUUAAUAGUCAAGUUAAUUACGCUAUUAGGUUU